AUUGAACGCUGGCGGCAGGCUUAACACAUGCAAGUCGAGCGAGCGGCGGACGGGUGAGUAAUGUCUGGGAAACUACCUGAUGGAGGGGGAUAACUACUGGAAACCGUAGCUAAUACCGCAUACCAUCAGAUGUGCCCAGAUGGGAUUAGCUAUUAGGGGGGGUAAAGGCGCCCCUAGGCGACGAUCCCUAGCUGGUCUGAGAGGAUGACCAGCCACACUGGAACGGAGACACGGUCCAGACUCCUACGGUAGGCAGCGGUGGGGAAGAUUGCACAAUGGGCGAAAGCCUGAUGCAGCCAUGCCGCGUGUGUGAAGAAGGUCUUCGGGUUGUAAAGCACUUUCAGCGAGGAGGCGUUACUCGCAGAAGAAGCAACGGCUAACUCCGUGCCAGCAGCCGCGGUAAUAC
rnacentral:rRNA from 1 species